UACGUAGGGUGCGAGCGUUGUCCGGAAUUAUUGGGCGUAAAGGGCUCGUAGGCGGCCAACUAAGUCAGACGUGAAAUCCCUCGGCUUAACCGGGGAACUGCAUCUGAUACUGGAUGGCUUGAGAUUGGGAGAGGGAUGCGGAAUUCCAGGUGUAGCGGUGAAAUGCGUAGAUAUCAGGAGGAACACCGGUGGCGAAGGCGGGUCUCUGGGCAGUAACUGACGCUGAGGAGCGAAAGCGUGGGGAGCGAACAGG
rnacentral:rRNA from 1 species